AAGGGAUUUCAGAUGGUCCAAGGAAGAUUCAGGAAAAUACGAUGGUGCAGUUCAUGGCAACUGGGAGAAUGGUGUGAGGUCCCAAGGUGCUUACUUUAAAGGGGACUGAGGUGUCAUUGUCUUAUGUACAAUGUUUCUUGUAUCUUCUUCAAUAAAUGUCUGUAUUUUUCAUAAUACAUGGCUGGAUACCUUCUGGACAGACCUU